UGGGCGGAGCUUGCUUGCGACAGAGGGUGGGGCCGCCUCUGGAGAUGUCAUAUACUCGCAGGCCUGGGCGCGCCCUUCGGGUGUGCGCGUGGUGGGAAAAGGGGGUGGGGCAGGCGCCACCGCCUUCUGACACCAUCUAGGGAAUGGAAUGUGGGGGCGGGGCCGUCGCGGUCUCCACUCGGUCACCACCGCUGGGGAAGCCGAGGGGAGCGAGAAGGACGGAGGAGGAGCGGCACUGAGCGCAGCAGAGAAAUACGGCAGGAGGAGUUAACCCUUACCUGGAAGCAGCUGAUCCUAUCUCACAGAGCUGGAAGGGACCCCGAAAGGAGUACAUCUGGACUAUCACAGUUCUGAAAAAAGUGCACAACCCGCUGGUCAUCAUUUGAAGAUCAUCACUGGAUAAUGCAGAACCUGAUUCAAAGGCAGCUGAAGUCAGAGAAAGUCUUUCCAUUACCUUCAAAGGCCUUCUAGUAGGUUCCUUAAUACCUAAACAAAUAGGGACAAAUUCCACACUGCGCCACUUGGGAGGCAGGCUGCAAAAGGUGCAGCCCACAGCAGGGGAAGGGCAAAGGCGGCUAAUAUACCAUCUUUGCAUUUACCUAAUUCUGGACUGCUCCACCCACCAGUGCACUCUCGGGCAUGAGCUUGACCAGCCAUUGGGGCUGCAAAAUUGAUGGCAGCUUUGCAUGGGUGUCUAUGGGCUAAAUUCACAGCCUAGAUUAGCUGGCAUGCCUUGUGCUCUGCCCAUUCCCCUCUUGUCCCUACACAGGGGGCACCCUAUGUGAAGACUCAAUACUGCACAUACUGUACACGGUAGUUAUUUU